rnacentral:miRNA from 1 species
UAUGUAGUAGUCAAAGGCAUUU